UACGAGUGCUUCGAGCGUUAUCCGGAAUUACUGGGCGUAAAGGGUGCGUAGGCGGUUGUUUAAGUCUGUUGUGAAAUCCCCGGGCUCAACCUGGGAAUGGCAAUGGAUACUGGACAGCUAGAGUGUGUCAGAGGAUGGUGGAAUUCCCGGUGUAGCGGUGAAAUGCGUAGAGAUCGGGAGGAACAUCAGUGGCGAAGGCGGCCAUCUGGGACAACACUGACGCUCAUGCACGAAAGCGUGGGGAGCAAACAGG
rnacentral:rRNA from 1 species